rnacentral:lncRNA from 1 species
AGCCAGAGCAUGACAUUAGUUGGAAUUAUGUGUAAAUAUUCUUGGAUCGGCACUAUUGAAAGUGCAACUGGUGCAACAUAAAGUUCAAGAGAAGAGAGAUAACCAAGUUGAAGCAACACUUAGCUGAUGAUUACUCCAACGUAUUUAUGUCGAAAAUACCCAUAGGAGAUUCGGUAACCGAUGAAGAAGUACUUCGCUGAUUUCAGAGCAGCAAAGGAGAAAGUUUCUAAGAAAAAAGCAGAGAUAGAUUGCCAAGCGACAGAGCCACCUUCCUAUUUCUAGAGAGUUAAAAGAGGUGUUUGCUCCAAAUGAUGAGGCACAGAUCCAGGCUGCCAUGUAGAGACGAGCCUGAGUGAUCAAUGGCAGCAGGAUGAGGUGGCCAGGCAUAGGGCUCGAUUUGGACCCUUAGACUACAAGUCGGGCUUCGGUUCUGCGAGCAGCAAAGCAGAUCUAGAGUUCAGGAGGAUCUCCUCAAUCAGAGAAGCCUUUCAUGAUAUCUCAGUUAGAUAAUGGAUGCUCGAGUUUUUUGUCUUUCUGUUGGGUCCUAUAUUAUCACAUGAUCAUGUGUUUCAAUCAGCAUUAAUAUUGCAUAGAUGCCAUAUAUUGGUGCGGUUAGAUUUGCUAUAUGACAAUUCCAGCAUUGCUCUAUAAUUUAAUUGUAAGUUUAAUCUCAUCUGCAAACAUCUUCUUCCAUUACCAAAAGGUUAGAAAAAAAGAAGCUAGAAGGUUGUGAAGUAACUAGUAUAGUUAUUGUUGUUAUUGUUAUUGCUAUCAUCAUUAUUAUUACUAUUUUUAUAUCAUCCUUCUUUCAAAUUUGGAUUAAAUUGCG